rnacentral:rRNA from 1 species
GAGGAAUAUUGGUCAAUGGACGAGAGUCUGAACCAGCCAAGUAGCGUGAAGGAUGACUGCCCUAUGGGUUGUAAACUUCUUUUAUACGGGAAUAAAGUGAGGCACGUGUGCCUUUUUGUAUGUACCGUAUGAAUAAGGAUCGGCUAACUCCGUGCCAGCAGCCGCGGUAAUACGGAGGAUCCGAGCGUUAUCCGGAUUUAUUGGGUUUAAAGGGAGCGUAGGCGGGUUGUUAAGUCAGUUGUGAAAGUUUGCGGCUCAACCGUAAAAUUGCAGUUGAUACUGGCGACCUUGAGUGCAACAGAGGUAGGCGGAAUUCGUGGUGUAGCGGUGAAAUGCUUAGAUAUCACGAAGAACUCCGAUUGCGAAGGCAGCUUACUGGAUUGUAACUGACGCUGAUGCUCGAAAGUGUGGGUAUCAAACAGGAUUAGAUACCCUGGUAGUCCACACAGUAAACGAUGAAUACUCGCUGUUGGCGAUAUACGGUCAGCGGCCAAGCGAAAGCAUUAAGUAUUCCACCUGGGGAGUACGCCGGCAACGGUGAAACUCAAAGGAAUUGACGGGGGCCCGCACAAGCGGAGGAACAUGUGGUUUAAUUCGAUGAUACGCGAGGAACCUUACCCGGGCUUAAAUUGCAACUGACUGAACCGGAAACGGUUCUUUCUUCGGACAGUUGUGAAGGUGCUGCAUGGUUGUCGUCAGCUCGUGCCGUGAGGUGUCGGCUUAAGUGCCAUAACGAGCGCAACCCUUAUCGAUAGUUACUAGCAGGUCAUGCUGAGGACUCUAUUGAGACUGCCGUCGUAAGAUGUGAGGAAGGUGGGGAUGACGUCAAAUCAGCACGGCCCUUACGUCCGGGGCUACACACGUGUUACAAUGGGGGGUACAGAAGGCAGCUACACGGCGACGUGGUGCUAAUCCCGAAAGCCUCUCUCAGUUCGGAUUGGAGUCUGCAACCCGACUCCAUGAAGCUGGAUUCGCUAGUAAUCGCGCAUCAGCCACGGCGCGGUGAAUACGUUCCCG